AUGGCUCAGAUUGAACGCUGGCGGCAGGCUUAACACAUGCAAGUCGAGCGGUAGCACAGGGGAGCUUGCUC
rnacentral:rRNA from 1 species